UACGUAGGGGGCAAGCGUUGUCCGGAAUUAUUGGGCGUAAAGAGCGCGUAGGCGGUCCGGUAAGUCGGUUGUGAAAGUCGGGGGCUCAACCCUCGGAUGCCGGUGGAUACUGUCGGGCUUGAGUACGGAAGAGGCGAGUGGAAUUCCGGGUGUAGCGGUGGAAUGCGUAGAGAUCCGGAGGAAGACCGGUGGCGAAGGCGGCCUGCUGGGCAGUUACUGACACUGAGGCGCGACAGCGUGGGGAGCAAACAGG
rnacentral:rRNA from 1 species